rnacentral:rRNA from 1 species
UACGUAGGGUGCAAGCGUUGUCCGGAAUUAUUGGGCGUAAAGAGCUCGUAGGCGGUUUGUCGCGUCUGCUGUGAAAACUCGGGGCUUAACUCCGGGCCUGCAGUGGGUACGGGCAGACUAGAGUGCGGUAGGGGAGACUGGAAUUCCUGGUGUAGCGGUGGAAUGCGCAGAUAUCAGGAGGAACACCGAUGGCGAAGGCAGAUCUCUGGCCGUAACUGACGCUGAGGAGCGAAAGCAUGGGGAGCGAACAGG